rnacentral:lncRNA from 1 species
GUAAAGGCAGCAGCCCGGCCUUGAAGCCGGAUCUCGCGAUGUUUCAGGGCGGCUUUGGUGUCAUCAAAUGUGAGAAGCCCUGGACUUUACACAUCCCGAGCCAGUGUGAUCCAGUAUGAUUGGGAGUCCGAGUGCCAGAUGCCGGUCAGGACCUGUUAUGCUGGGUCUCAGAAUGCGGAAACUCUCCCUGUCCGAGGUGGAACAGUUUGUCCUUGAGUGAGGACUGGAGUCCUGAGUGACUCUUUUGAUUUGAUCCUGUUUCCCUCAAACCUGAGAUGGGAGCCUCACUGUAUUGCCCAGGCUGGUCUUGAACUCCGGAGCUCAAGUGAUCGUCUUGCUUCAGCCUUGCAAAAUGAUGGUGAAGCUGCAUCAUUGUCUGGGGUAAAUACCUGAGGUUCGUUGUCUCACGCCAAGGGAAUCAAGGACGUGGACACACAAGAAGUGAGUUUAAGAGCGGAGGUUUAAUAGGCGAAAGAGAAAAGAGAAUAGCUCUAGCUCCUGCAGAGAGAAAAGGGCUCCCAAGUAGGACUUCCAGUCCGUGGCGAAGGGCACGGGGUUUAUAGACUGGCUUCAGGAGGUGGUGUCUGAUUUACGUAGGCCCCAAAGAUUGGUUGGACCAGGUGUGCCAAUCAGAAGCUGGCUGCCCCACCCUAAUCUUUUAUUAUGCAGAUGGAGUCCCUGUCUGACCGGGCCAUGUUGUAUGUUCCUUGCUGUACACGUGGUUGACAAAGAAAAGGGAAGAUGGAGCUGCGAUGUUGGACAUGCCUGGCCCCCAGGACAUACAGCCCUGCCGAGCAAAUAAUGAACGUAACUCACAAACUUCCUGCUUAUCAUCAAACGCACGCAUCCACUUAUCAUCAAACACCUCGGGUGACAGAAGAAUGCAGGUCAGCUCCCUGCUGCCUUGGCAUUAUCAAUCAGCCCAGGAACCAUCCUAUAAAAUCUCCAGCAAGCCUUUGUUUCCUUGCAGUCAGCUCCUCUUCCACUGAUUCUGCCUGUUGCUCCCUGAUAACAUACUUUGAUACUGUCUUUAAUAAAUCUGCCUUUCUUCACCCACAGCUGUCUUGGUAAGUUCUUUUACCUCUGUGCCACCAGCCCAAACAGUUGCUGCUCACCUGAAACAAAGAAUAAAUGUGGUUUUUAAGCAAAUCAAAGUUUACUUAGUGACUCUUACCAAGCUUUGUAGAAGGUUGUGCCAAAAGGAGAAGCUUAAGAGAUAACGGCUAAAAAUAAAAAAUGUUACCACCGCCCAAGGGGUUCUUCCUGCCCACUGCAUAAAGAAAGACCAUGGCAUUGUAGUAGAGAAAGAGGUUAAUAGACAUGAGGCUGGCCACGCCACAUGGGAAAUGGAGUUCGUACUCAAAUCAUCUAAUCCAAAGCUCUUAUCUUAGAGGUUUUUCAAAGUCACUUUGGGGGAAGGGGUGGGAGUGGCCAGAUAACAGGUGCUUGCUGCUGAUUCGUUGGGCUGGAGAUGAAAUCAUAGGGGGUCAAAGCUCUCCUUGUGUGGGGUGAAUUGCUUCUGGGUGGUGCCACAGGAACUGGGUUGGUUAGUCCAAGUGGAACCAUCAGGUCCAGGUGGAGCCAUGGGUGUCAGACAUGAAAAAACCUGAAAAGAUAUCUCAAAAGGCCAAUCUGAGGUUCUACAGUAGUGAUGUCAUUUGUAGUAGUAAUUGGGAAAGUUGCAUAUCCUAUAACCUUUGGAAUAAUGGCUGACAGUUGAAUAAUGCUGCCACCUUAGCAGGACCCAGACUCCUCUCCUCCCAGACUGAUGGCCUCCCAUUAGCUUUACAAAAACAAUUGAGUUUUGGGCAAAGCCUGUUAUUUAAACUAUAGCGUAAAUGUCUUCCAAAGUUAGCUCAGCCCUAUAGCCCAGGAAUAAUUAAGGGAAAGGCAAGAUAGGUGGGUUAGCUCAGUUUACUAUAAUAAUUUUUCUCACUGAUACAGUUUUUGCAAAGGUGGUUUCAUAAAGAUGCCUACUCUCUUCACACAUUUGUGAAAUGUCGAAAAGACUGCAAAAACCUGGACGUUUACUGAUGCCUUAUUUUAAACAAGGCUUGUCUGGUUUGAAAAAGUGAGGGGAAGCUAUCAAUCAUAAUUUUGUUAAAUACAGUGAGUUCUAAGUUUCUCCUCAAAGAAUCUGUGUCAGUAUGUUCAGUUCUUUGUUUUCCAUUUUAAAGUUUAACUUCCUCAUUCUCUUCAUCUCCUUGCCCCUAGUUUCAGUAAACAACCUCCCUGCCAGUUCUGAUCAGUAGUUCACAUCUGUUCUCCUGGUCACUUGCUCCAUCCUGAGACCCCUGGUCACCCGCUCUAACCUAAGUCACCUUUAGUCACCUAUUCCGUAACCGUCUUUCCUGCCACAACUGCUCACCCCACCACUGUAGCUCUUAACCCCUGCUGUCUUUAAAAUAGCCAAUCGGAAUUAGCUUAGACUGUGCAGUCCAACCCUAGCCAAUAGGGGAACGAUGCAACAGUAGGGGCUACCUGUGUCAGGGAUAAGAACCCCUUCCCCUCCCUUGUUCAGGUGUGCUCUCACCAUUGUUCCAUCCACAAGAUGCACCCUUCUGUAGAAGUAAAAUUGCCUUGCUGAGAAAAUUUCUGUUCGAAUGCUAUUUCUUUUGUGGCACCGAAAAUUUAUUUCUAACAAUUUCAACACUCAAACACAACCCAACUACAAUUUUUGUGGAUUAUGUUCCUUUUACUUUUUAGGAACAGUUUUCCAAUGUUGCAGUCAUAAUGCAAUUUUAUCAGCUUUGUUCCUCCUUUAAGAAACCUUAAUACAAGAAGUAUUUUUACAUGUUGCUUCAUUGCCAUGCAAUUAUUCGUUUAAAAAGUUGUAUAGUUUUCAAUCAGAUAGAUGUGAAAGGAAAAUAAAUCCCAGGACUCCGGUUGGGCACAGUGGCUCAUGCCUGUGAUUCCAGCACUUUGGGAGGCCGAGGCGGGUGGAUCACGAGGUCAGGAGAUCGAGACCAGCCUGGCCAACAUGGUAAACCCCGUCUCUACUAAAGAUUAAAAAAAAAAAAUUAAGUGGGUGUGGUGGUGUGCACCUGUAAUACCAGCUACUCUACUCGGGAGGCUGAGGCAGGAGAAUAGCUUGAACCCGGGAGGCGGAGGCUGCAGUGAGCAGAGAUCACACCAUUGCACUCCAGCCUGGGCAACAGGGCGAGACUCUGUCUCAAAAAAAAAAAAAAAAUCUAAGGACUCCAAAAUCACUAAGCCAAGGGAAAGUCAAGCUGGGAACUAUGUCAGGCAAGGCUGCCUCUCAUUUGAUUCCUAAAUACAAUAGCUAUAAAGAUUAAAAGCUACAUACCUCCCUCACAAUUUGCCCACAAGGAAAUUCCUUUUGGACAAAGGACAGAAAGAAUUCAAAGUCAUCCCUCUGAGGCUCACCUGAGAGAAAUGCAUAUCUGAUUGCUUCCUUGGACCUAGUGUUUAUGUAAAAAUGCAAAUUCACAGAGCCAGACUAAAUUGUGUAUUCAGUGGAAAGCUAAUCAAUAACUCAAAAGAAUGCAACCUUUUGUCCCACAUCUAUUUAUGACCUGGAAGCCUCCACCUCAGAUUUUUCCACCUUACCUGACUGAACCACUGUACAUCUUACACAUAGUGAUUGAUGUCUCAUAUCUCCCUAAGAUGUAUAAAAGCAAGCUGUACCCCAACCACCUUGGGCACAUGUCAUCAGAACGUCCUGAGACUGUCAGUGCUUCCCUAACCAUGGGAAAAUAAACUUUCCAAAUCGAUUGAGACCUGUCUCCAAUACCUUUUGGUUUACAACAUACUGUUAUUUAUUUGACCAUUCUUCUACUUGUAGCUGUGGAGUCCUGAUAAGUAAGCAACAAUGAGGAAGGGGCCCCAGUGGGGAAGUACAAUGAACAGUUGUCCUGAGAAAUGGCUAAUCAAACAACAGCUCUCUCCAGGAUGACCCUAUAAAACUUCCUUCCAGCUCCUGCCUCUUUGCAGACAGCUCCUUCUCUCCUGUGCUGCCAGUUGCAACCUUGCAAUGUAUUUUCAUACGUUCUCUAAUAAAUCUGCCUUUCUUUAGGACUGUCCUGGUAAAUAUGAGACUGUUUUCUUUACCGCCUUUGAUACAAGCCCUAUCUAGUUGCUACCCAUGACAGUAGGUAUAUUGUUUAUGUUCAACAUUUUAUUAUAAACAAUGUUUCAGCUGGGCUCGGUGGCUCAUGCCUGUAAUCCCAGCACUUUGGGAGGCUGAGGCAGACAGAUCAGGAGGUCAGGAGAUUGAGACCAUCCUGGCUAACAGGUGAAACCCCGUCUCUACUAAAAAUACAAAAAAAUUAGCCAGGCGUGGUGGCACGUGCCUGUAGUCCCAGCUACUCGGGAGGCUGAGGCAGGAGAAUGGCAUGAACCUGGGAGGUGGAGCUUGCAGUGAGCUGAGAUUGCGCCACUGCA